rnacentral:rRNA from 1 species
AUGGCGACGGAGCACAUGCCGGCCACGAACGAGGAGACGGCGGAGCCGCCGUCCGGGUAUCUGCAGAUCGCCGCCACCUCCCCCGCGACCAGGAGAAAGUGCCGGCCAGCCGGCACACCAGACCCGGACGCGGAGGUGGUGUCGCUGUCCCCGCGGACGCUGCUGGAGCCCAAGACGUACGUGUGCGAGAUCUGCAACCGGGGCUUCCGGCGGGCGACGAACCUGCAGAUGCACCGCCGGCGGCACGGCGUGCCGUGGGAGCAGCUGCAGAGGCGGGACGCCGGCAAGGCGGCGCCGCCGGGCCGGAAGCGGGUGUUCGUGUGCCCGGAGCCCAGCUGCCCGCACCACCACCCCUCCCGUGCCCUCAGCGGCGCCAGCGCCAUCAAGCACCACUUCCGCCGCCAGCACGGCGCCCACCGCCAGUGGUCCUGCUCCCGCUGCUCCAGAGCCUUCGCCGUCCACGGCGACUACAAGGCCCACCUCAAGACCUGCGGCGGUAGCGGCACCCGCGCCCGCUUGCUCCGCUACCCUUGCCACUGUGGGCGCGUCUUCUUCCGGGUGGACACGUUCGCAUAUCACCAGCGAACGUGCCGCGGCGUUCCCCCACAGGCGGGUGUGCUGUCGGCGCCGGUGUGCGGCGCGUUGUCCGCGCCGCAGCAGCGGGCGACAUCACCGUACCCGUCCGGCUUCGCCAUGCCAUCCAGUAGCGUCCUCAUCGGCGCGGUGAUUUGGCCCGGCGCCACCGCAAUGCGGAGCCCGACCGUGGCCACGUUCAACGGGUUCUUGCCGCCGACAGGCACCAGCCGCAGCGGGCACGACCUCGAGCUGCAGCUCAUGCCGCCAUCGUGCCACGCAGCGCCGCGCUCACCGCCCGCGCCCAUCUCGUGGGGAGACGACGGCGCCACCCAGCUGCAGCUUUCCACAGGCCUAUGCAGCGGCGACAACCGUGCGGGAGAGGAGUUCAGGCCGUCGUCAUUCCAGGCGCCACGUGGUCGAGCCCGGUGGAGGCGUGCAGUCCACCUCCAGGGAGGAGCAGGAGGAGCUGCGGCCGGUGAUGGCGGCGAAGGCGGAUCUGAAACCACGUGCUCUCCAUCGUCACCGACCCCCUCAUCCUCGACGGCAUACGGCGGCGGCGUCACCAGCCUGCAAUGGGCAAUGCGUAGCUUGCCAUCUUGGACCGCCUCUUAA